GGGUUUAGUUCUGGCCCUAGGAGGGUUUAUAGUUAUAUUCCACAUAAAUUUAUUUUAUUAAUUUGGCUAGAUGAAAUUUUUCUUAGUUUUUAGUGGUAAGACCUUAUUUUAUAUAGUAAUAUAGUUUAGGGUAAUUAUAAUUUUGGGGUGGAUAAUUCGCAGUGCCAGCAUCCGCGGUUAUUCUGUUUUACCUUACUCUCUUGUUUUGGUUAAAAUAAUUUUAGUUUUAUUAACGAAUUGCUGCAAUAAGCUUUUUCGUUAUUUAGAUUUAAAUUAAUUUAUAUAUGGAGUUCCUGUUUAGGAUGAAGAUUAGAGACCUUUUUACUAGGUUUAUAUUUUUUUCCAUGGUUUCAACUAAAAGGAUUUGGCAGCUGAUGAUUUUCAUCCGGGGGAGUGUGCUUUUUAAACAGAUAGUACGCUUAUGAGUUUUCCAGGUUUAUUUUAGUUAGUGUAUAUCCGAUUUAAUAUUUGUGAUUAAUUUCUUAAAUAAAUGUAUAAUUAUAAAUUAAAGUCAGGUCGAUGUGCUGCUAAUAAUUUGGGUAAUUGUGCAUUACAUUAUAAAGUUUAAUGUUGGAAUAGUUUUUGUUUGAUUUAGGACUCGGCAGUAGGAUAUUUUUAGUAUGAGUAUUCGAAUAGGAUUUAGUUGGGGUACACAUCGCCCGUCAGUUUCAACGUUAGUUGUGAUAAGUCGUAACAUGGUAACGGUUGGGGAACCAGUCGUUAGU
rnacentral:rRNA from 1 species